rnacentral:tRNA from 3 species
GGGCCCGUAGCUCAGCUUGGACAGAGCAGCAGCCUUCUAAGCUGAUGGUCGCGGGUUCAAAAUAAGUUUAGCGGUUCGCUAAUGUUAUGGAAUUCCCGCCGGGCCCG